GACGAACGCUGGCGGCGUGCUUAACACAUGCAAGUCGAACGGAAAGGCCCUGCUUUUGUGGGGUGCUCGAGUGGCGAACGGGUGAGUAACACGUGAGUAACCUGCCCUUGACUUUGGGAUAACUUCAGGAAACUGGGGCUAAUACCGGAUAGGAGCUCCUGCUGCAUGGUGGGGGUUGGAAAGUUUCGGCGGUUGGGGAUGGACUCGCGGCUUAUCAGCUUGUUGGUGGGGUAGUGGCUUACCAAGGCUUUGACGGGUAGCCGGCCUGAGAGGGUGACCGGCCACAUUGGGACUGAGAGACGGCCCAGACAGCUACGCGAGGCAGCAGUGGGGAAUAUUGCACAAUGGGCGGAAGCCUGAUGCAGCAACGCCGCGUGCGGGAUGACGGCCUUCGGGUUGUAAACCGCUUUCGCCUGUGACGAAGCGUGAGUGACGGUAAUGGGUAAAGAAGCACCGGCUAACUACGUGC
rnacentral:rRNA from 1 species